AGGAAUGCAUGCACUUGUCGUGCAUGGGUUAGCGUGACGUUUGGUCGUGGAGUUGGGGAGGGCACAGGUGAUGGAUAGGGUUUCCGUGGGGUUGGAAGAGGGGUGGGAGGUCCACUUGGAGAAGGCAAAUGGCUUUGGAUGUGGAUGCUGACAACAGGGAUGAGGCAUGACUUGAAGGAGUAGAACUCCUAAAAGGAGGAUGAUGAGUCCAACAGAAGAAGAAGAAGAAGAAGAAGAUUAGGAUGCAGCAUUUCUCUCCCAUUCAGAUUGGAUGUGGGAUUCCAUGUCGCAGAACCAUGUUGUCAGCCUUAUCCUGUGAGAGUGCCAAAGUGCAUCUCUCCUCCAUUAAAAAUACACCUGUUGUUACUGGUAUUACAAGAACAAGGCCUUAAUACUCCAUGACACUACUUCAAAUGCUUGUCGAAUCAUUGUUCAAGGAUUGCGGACUUAUCAAUGACAUUGUUAACAAGUCUUUCAACAACAACAGGAACAGUGUAGAUAUCAAAGUGCACUAAAGAGUCAAGAGAAGUGGUUUGAGAGUUUAUCCAAACAAAGACAGAGAGAGAGAGAGAGAGAGAGAGAGAGAGAGAGAGGUGUACGUGAUGGUUAUCUAAGAAGAAAGACGUUUGCUUUAAUCAUAAAAACCAUGAAUGCUUAUCUAGUUGAGUGUUGCUUGCAUGGAAAACCCAUGUCACACGUGAUGCAGGAACAAUAGGGUUUGUUGGAACCAUCCUCAUCUCCUUCCUUCCAACCCUUCUCAUAUGUUGACUUUGGUUGCUUGGAUAAACAAAAUUUGACCGGUCUCCAUCUCCAUCACAAAGUCUUGCAUGCAUAAUUCUCUCCUAAAAAAAAUCUCUUUUAGGAUACUCGUGUUUAUCUAACUAACUUGAACAUCAGAUGGAUCUCGAUGACUUCUUUAGCUAGCUUAACGACCUACCUUUUAAUGUAUCUAAUUUAAUAUUGCUUCAACACCUAAAGUCUCGUUGUCGCUUCUCUGGUUCAAAUUUAUAUUUCAUGUAAAAAAUAAAACAUCUGACCAAAAUAUUGUUCACACACAUACACACGUGUUUAUCUAACUUGGACAUCGGAUGAAUCUCAUCCUAAGAUGACUUCUUUAGCUAGCUUAGUGACCUACCUUUAAUGCAUCUAAUUUAAUGUUGCUUCAACUCCUAAAGUCUCGUCGCUUCUCUGGUUCAAAUUUAUAUUUCAUGUAGAAAAUAAAACAUAUGAUUGUUCGAGGAGGAUGAACAAACUAUAUGACUUAGAAGGCUAUCAGUUAGAAGAUUCAAUCAUAAGCUAACGUGCAUAUGAAGAAACACCACAUCUCAGAUUAUCCAAGUCAAAAGUUGACAAAUUAUGCCGACCAAAAAGAAAAGGUCGUCUUUAUCUAUUCCCAGAGAAAUGAUUAGAAGCCCCCAUAAAAGUUUCAGCAAGUGUGUAUGCAUCUAAAGAACCUCAUGGCUUCGGUCCUACUUUUAUUUGUGGCCGUGUCUUGCAAGUUGCAUUCAUUACAUCAUCUAAAAGUUAAAGAGUAGAAGGUUGAAAUGGAUAGGCACGACUGACAAUUUAGAUCUGCUUGCGGGAAGUCAAAGGCUACAGCAGUGACUCGAAAGCUCCCCCAGCAAUCAAUGUUAAGUAAGCAUGGCAGCUUUAGAGGGCCACUAUAACACUUCAGACUAGAAAACACUGCUGAUACAGAAAUUGUUUCUAGACUUUCUACACUUAAAAGUUGCAUUAACAUGCUUUGUUAGCAAAUGAAUGUGCAUUCUACCACAGAUUGAUUGACAUGCAUGAGCACCACCAUGAAUGCCUGCUCUAAAUUUGGUAGGAAAAUAUCCUAAUCCCUUGACGACUCUUCUCUCCUGAAAAGUCGGUAAAUUUGGCCGCUGUCAUUGUUUAUGAAGCAAGUCAUUGGACACUGUCUUGACCGCAGCAUCCAGCGUCGAACGAAGGAGAUAUAAGUGGCAACACUAAAUCUUGUUUUCAGCUUUAUCAUAGAAGACUUCUUACCGACAUCCACUUAGAUCAUUCAUAUCAAGAGCUCACCUCAUGAUCAUUCUCACCAUCUCAUCAAAGGACCAAGUGUUAAAUGCCAUGACAAAGAUCUGAGCUGGGAUAUAGCAACACAUUACAAUCACAUUUAUCAGCCAAAACCUACAUCUAUGGACCAUCUCCUGUCACAGCAAUCACAUUCCGAGGACAAAUCUUGGUCUCAAACUCUUCUGCCAAGAACAAAUCAUCUUGGAUGACUACGUUUCAUAGACCGCUACCACCAGUCGGAGGCUAAUUGGAUGCCGAUCCCACUUGUCUUGUCCUCACCAACGUCUAUCUUAACGUGGUGGGAAUGCAGUGAAGCUGCGACCAACCACAUGGACGGCGGAGGCAGAAGGGGGCUUGGCUCCGAGUGUACCAUCCACCGGCUUAGUGGGGUAGAAUCUCUCGUUCCAAAGCAUCACAUAUUUUAUGUAGUAGAAGAAGUAGUAGUAGUAGGUGGCAAAUCGUCUCUUCUUAUCAGGUCAUCCAUCACAAACACUGUCCCACCUACCUCCCAAACCUUCCUCUACAACCUUGGUAUAUGUGGCAUUUCUUGGCACCACCAUGACUUGGAAGUGAGGGUGGGGGCAUGUCAAAGAUACCACCUUGAUGAAUAAAUCAUGAUCAUGUCUGGGGAAAAUUAUCCCAGUGAUCUAAAUUUGGUCAGCUUUGAUGAUGAUGAUGAUGAUAUCUCGUGUUUUAUGAGGAAUAUAGGAUGAAUGAUCUGAAUGUGAUGCACGUAAGAAGCGUUGAGGAGCACUUCAUCAAAUAAAUUCAACAAUCAUGCUUCACACAUGAUAAGACAUUAAUACUGUCAUCCUUGAUUUAACAUGAUCUGACUUGUUUAAGUCGAUGAUUAUAAGCAUGAUAAAUGUGCAGCAUUCAUGUUAAAAAAAAAGAUGACUAAUAAAAAAAAUCUUAAUUUUCAAAAAUUAAGGGGGAAAAAAAGGAGUUACACCUUUAAUUGAAUUCCCACUAAAAUCUUAUUUAGCUAAUCAUCCUAUUUAAGAUCUUAACAAGACAAGAUCAUCAAGUAGCUCAAAUGUGAACGGCGCUGCAAACGAUCAAAUCCAAAUGGGCCAGAUUCAACAUCUCGGCCCGACACGAACCAAUUUGAUGCGACGCGUUGGUGCUGUCAUUUGACCAAAGCAAUUAAAGCCAACACACUGAUAAGGACACACAAACUAUUCGUCGUGAAACAUUGUCAUCACGAUCUGCUAUCACUCGCGUAAUCCAUCCAAUGGCUGAACUCAAACAGCGACGCUCCUGUGGGACGGCCACAUCACGUGGUCCACCCACGUGUUUAGACAUGUAUGCCAUCGAAAAUUAUCAAUCUCAAGGGAAAAACAACCACAAUGGGCGAUUUUCCUAAGAUAUAGAUAGAUAUAUAUGUUUUAAAUAUUAUUCUAAAGAUCUUACUCUCAAAUAAUAUGUUUAAUUAAAAAAAUCAAAAAACCCCUCAAAAAAAGUUUAUCAUACUUUUUAUUUAUUUAUUUUAUCUAUUUUAAUUAUUAUAAUAUUUUUAUUUGACUUGUUUAUAAUGUUUUCCAAUAACGUUUACAAUGUUUUAUUGACUAUUGAAAACAUUGUAAACAUUAUUAGAAAGACACUAUAAGUGAUAUUAUAUUAUGUUUUCUUAGUUAUCAUUACUCAUAAAUCAUUGUAAUACAUUGUAACAUAUCAAAAUAUUGUAACAGAUUAAAAAAAAAAUUAAGAUUUUUAAAUUAAAAAUAUUAUUUGAGAAAAAGUACAAUAGAAGAUACAGAUUGAGAAAUAUCUAGAAUGCGAAUAUUAUAUAUAUAUAUAUAUUAAAAAAAACUCUCCAAGUACAACGUUGGCUUCUUUUUCCUUUUAAGAAAGAGAAAGGGGAGACCUUUUCCUUUCUUCCAUACUCAGAGGACACGUGACAAACAAGUAAUUUGCUGUCCGAUGUUCUAAAAUCGAAUAAAAAAAGUGGUGUGAAUACUGGUUGUCAAAACCAACCCACACGCGACAGAAAUGAAAGCGUCAACGAAAAGGACUCGACUGCUCCGAGGUCAUGCCCUUUUACCCAAGGUUUGCUCGCAUCGGAAUCCUUGGCGUCGGCUGAGAAUUUUCUACAGCCGCCGCAUUAAUCCCCAGUCGUAUGACUUUGUGUUCCUUUCGACACUAGUGACUGGGCCCAUAUGAUUCAUCAUCUAAAGUACCUAACUAAUCAAAGAAUCAUGCGAUGCAUAAUGCAAGAGUGGCUUGCUUGGUGGGCAAGAAAGAGACGUACGUCCGGAAAUGAAAGGCGCCCAGAUGCAAUGCACGGGCAUGGCGAUAGGGCGUCUCGACAGUGACAUCCAGAAACCCCUAACGAGUGAUGCCACCGCCUCGCACGGUUUUAACUGGGGACGUACUCAUCACGAACCCCGUAACUGUGUCACCUUUCCACUUCCUUGUCUCUUUUCGCCAUCUCCAGGUCCAAUGGAUCCAUGUGUCAUAAUUCCAUGUUCUCCAUGAAACCCUAGCUCGCUGUCGAUCCUGAUCCCUUACGUGAGCUGAAGGGUUCUGAGCAAGGGAGACAGACGUACAUAUUCAUGUCGUGAAUCCCCCCCUCCUUGCACAACGGCUGCGUAAUUAACAGUGCUAGUCCCUUCAACUCCAAAUUCCAUCUUGUCUUCAUGCAAUUUAUACAUGAAAAUUCAUACUAAAUGUAGCAAAAAAACAAAAUUGAUAUGAAACGAUGAAAACACAGAAAUGAAAUCAAAAUAUAGAGCAUUAAGGUGAAUUAUGCAUAAAUAAAUAUAAUAUAAUAUGAAUUAUGCAUUAAUAUGUAAAUUUACCUGAACUGAACGGAUUGGUUCCAGCAUGGGUAGGUGUCUGCGGGCAACAGCACGUUGGUCUUCGCCACCUUGACCAAUGCAGUCGGCCGCCUCACGCGAAGCUUCCCGGAUCCCACACGUGGUUGCUGCGACCCCUCCAUUCCCCUAUAUAUACAACACGAUGGGGGUUCAAAAAAUCUCGACCACCAGCUUCUCAACAAAUCACACACCCAACACCGGGAAAGAGAGAUCGAGCUUACAGGAGACACGAGGAUGGGAAGGAAGAGAGAUGCUGAGGCCGAGCUCAACCUGCCACCGGGGUUCCGGUUCCACCCCACAGACGAGGAGCUCGUCGUGCACUACCUGUGCAGGAAGAUAGCCUGCCAGCGCCCGGCCGUACCUAUCAUCGCCGAGAUCGAUCUCUACAAAUAUGACCCUUGGGAAUUACCAGGUAUUGUAACCAUCCAAUGAUAUAAAAAUCAGUUCAUUUGUUUUUUUUUUUUUUGCCGAGGAAGAUAUCAAAUGGUUUCCAUACCUGUUGGCUAAAUUGAUUUGGCUUUGUAUGUUUGUGAUGUGAGCAGACAAAUCAUUGUUUGGACAAAGGGAGUGGUAUUUCUUCACCCCCCGUGACCGCAAGUACCCAAACGGCUCAAGGCCGAACCGGAGUGCCGGGAAGGGAUACUGGAAGGCAA
rnacentral:lncRNA from 1 species